rnacentral:tRNA from 1 species
GGUGGUGUAGUCCGGCCUAUCAUGCGGGCCUGUCGAGCCCGCGACUCGGGUUCAAAUCCCGGCCCG